AUAUGUUGAAUUAUGCAGUUGCUUAAUUUAUCUAUAAAUAUGCAUCUUCUCACUUGUAUAUUAUCACAAACACUUGAAAUUUAGAGUGCAUAGAGAUGGUUAAACUCAACAAGACUACUUUUCUUGCUCUCCUCUUCUGCUUCCUCAUUAUUGCAGCCUACGGUAGGUAGUUUUGCGCUCCAUGAGCAGAUAAUUCAAUUUCUAUUACUGGAAAACAUUGUCAUGUUCAGUACAUAGGACUGAACAAGAUUUGUUGAGAGAACCACUUCUUCUUUUAUAUAUAUAUAUAUAUAUAUAUAUAUAUAUAUAUAUAUAUAUAUAUAUAUAUAUAUAUAUAUAUAUAUAUAUAUGACUGAACAAGAUUUGUUGAGAGAACCACUUCUUUUAUAUAUAUAUAUAUCACAUUCAAUCAAGAUUUGUCGAAUGUAACAAUAUAUGUCCUCACUUUAUUCAUUAUUUUGCAAUGCACCAUGCAUAUGAUUAUCAUUAGAAAAUAACCGGAGACAGUUAAUUACCUUAUUCAUUAUUUUUCAUAGUUUUUCUUGACACCGUUCCACCCACGAAAAAAAUUAAAAUUCCUAUGAGUGAAUUUUUGCUUGUUUUUCAUUUUUCUUAACAUGAUAAGAACUUACAGAAUAUAUACAUUUGAGUAAGAUUAAUGCCUACCAUAAAAGAAGUGUUCUUAAAAAGUAAAAUAAAAUGACGUAAAUUUAUCGAAUAACUGAUACUAUUUAUCUUUCCUGAUCCAAUUUUUACGCAGAGAUGCGAUUGGGGGAGGCAAAACCUUGCACAAAACUUAGCAAAGGAUGGCGUGGGUUGUGUGCUCCUCAUAAAUGCAGCAGUUACUGUAUUCACCACGAGGGAGCUUACCAUGGUGCUUGUCUAAAAAAUCACCAUAGUAAGCAUUAUGGUUGCUACUGCUACUACCGUCAUUGCUAAUCAAUGAAUUUAUAUGUACUUGUUGGAGGUCAUGCCUUGUGCCCGUCUACAAUUUCGUACUGUGUUUAUGUUUCCAAUAAUAUUGCAAUCCUCGAGUGCUUUCGUUUAGAAAAGUAAAAGCUGCCUGUGUGAGCUCUUGCAGCUGGAGGUGUCACUUGUGUCCACUAGUUCGUGUUACUUUUGUUGUACUUGUAUUACCUAAAUAUUGAAGAUUGUAAGUUUCUUUUAGUCUGUUUAUUGAUCAAAAUAUUAAGUGAGGAUGUGUUAAAGAUAGGAUUUAAAUAAAUAGAUGUGUCCACUCAUUGAACAUAGAAUUUUAUAUGAAGUGGUUCAACAUGACAUUAGAGUAAGUAAAUUAAACAUAAAAUUGAUUUAGCUUAAAUCAUAAUUGGAAGCAAGACAAUUGUUGGUACUAAAACCUCA
rnacentral:lncRNA from 1 species